rnacentral:rRNA from 1 species
AGUGAACGCUGGCGGUAGGCCUAACACAUGCCAGUCGAACGGCAGCACAGUAAGAGCUUGCUCUUACGGGUGGCGAGUGGCGGACGGGUGAGGAAUACAUCGGAAUCUACUUUUUCGUGGGGGAUAACGUAGGGAAACUUACGCUAAUACCGCAUACGACCUACGGGUGAAAGCAGGGGAUCUUCGGACCUUGCGCGAUUGAAUGAGCCGAUGUCGGACUAGCUAGUUGGCGGGGUAAAGGCCCACCAAGGCGACGAUCCGUAGCUGGUCUGAGAGGAUGAUCAGCCACACUGGAACUGAGACACGGUCCAGACUCCUACGGGAGGCAGCAGUGGGGAAUAUUGGACAAUGGGCGCAAGCCUGAUCCAGCCAUACCGCGUGGGUGAAGAAGGCCUUCGGGUUGUAAAGCCCUUUUGUUGGGAAAGAAAAGCAGCAGGUUAAUACCCCGCUGUUCUGACGGUACCCAAAGAAUAAGCACCGGCUAACUUCGUG